GGGCCUAUAGCUCAGUUGGUUAGAGCGCUGCCCUGAUAAGGCAGAGGUCAGUGGUUCAAAUCCACUUAGGCCCA
rnacentral:tRNA from 1 species